UACGUAGGUGGCAAGCGUUGUCCGGAUUUACUGGGCGUAAAGAGCGCGCAGGCGGUCGUUCAAGUCGCGUGUGAAAGCCCCCGGCUCAACUGGGGAGGGUCACGCGAUACUGAUCGACUCGAAGGCAGGAGAGGGUAGUGGAAUUCCCGGUGUAGUGGUGAAAUGCGUAGAUAUCGGGAGGAACACCAGUGGCGAAGGCGACUUCCUGGCCUGUUCUUGACGCUGAGGCGCGAAAGCUAGGGUAGCAAACGGC
rnacentral:rRNA from 1 species